GUGGUUAAGCUUUUGGCACUGUUAUAUUCUACUUGAGCACUUAACUCUUGUGAAAUGAUGCACCAGAUGCUAAGAAGCGAAGGCCAGAAGUUACUCAGUCCUUCCCAAACUGUAAUAGCUUUGAAAACUAGCUGCCUCUUGACAGUGUUCCUUCUGUGUGCAAAGCAACAAAUGUCCUUAACUGGGAGUCUUCUGGUUCCUGAACUAAUUUUGCCUCACAGCUUUUCCUGUUACCUGGGCUUUCCUGGUCUUGGUUUUCGAUACUUCUGCUGCCUCCUUUGUGGGAGCAGGUGUGACGCUUUGAGCGGACGUGGUCCUGCCUUAAGUGCACUGUUAGAGCUUGGAAAUGCAGAGAUGAAAGGCUUCUGACAAAGCUUCUCCUUCAGGAAUGACCUCUUUGUGUUCCUGGCUGUUCACCCUCAGCAGUUCUCAGUGCAGGGAAAGGUGCAAGCUGCUGGAGACAAGGUUUCUGUUCUGUAAGGAAGCUCUGUGGCUUCCGAGAGCUCUGCUGCACUCUUGUAGCUGUUGUAAUCACCUCUGACCUCUGGAGCUGUGACGCCUUGCCCUGCAGUCGCAGGCCCUGUACUGACGGGUCAGACGCUUCUUGCUUUUGAAGAGGGACUCAGUUGCUGUGAGCUGGACUGGUGGUAGAUGGACGUGAAGCUGAAGAGAUGCUGUUCCGUGAGAACCUUUCUCCUGGGACUUGAGCUGUCGUGGUAGGCUCAGUGCCCCCUUAGGCUGAGGUGCAGCACAGGAGCCAGCUGGCUCCGUGUGGUAACUCGGUAGAUGGAGAAUAGGCAGACAUGCUUGCUUGUCUGCCUUUUGCCAUUAAGGCCACGGCCACGGGCCAUCUUCCUCCAGGAACUGCAAGCAGUGAGUAAUGCUGAUUUUCCAGGAACAGCAAAAAGAGCCUAUUAUUGGGGUGCCAGAGACUUCCUGGUGGACAACCUGAGUACUGAGCAAAACACGGAAGGUGACCACUUGC